rnacentral:rRNA from 1 species
AGUGAACGCUGGCGGUAGGCCUAACACAUGCAAGUCGAACGGCAGCACAGUAAGAGCUUGCUCUUACGGGUGGCGAGUGGCGGACGGGUGAGGAAUACAUCGGAAUCUACUUUUUCGUGGGGGAUAACGUAGGGAAACUUACGCUAAUACCGCAUACGACCUACGGGUGAAAGCAGGGGAUCUUCGGACCUUGCGCGAUUGAAUGAGCCGAUGUCGGAUUAGCUAGUGGGCGGGGUAAAGGCCCACCAAGGCGACGGUCCGUAGCUGGUCUGAGAGGGUGAUCAGCCAGGCUUGAACUGAGGCACGGUCCAGAGUGCUACGGGAGGCAGCAGUGGGGAAUAUUGGACAAUGGGCGGAAGCCUGAUCCAGCCAUACCGCGUGGGUGAAGAAGGCCUUCGGGUUGUAAAGCCCUUUUGUUGGGAAAGAAAAGCAGCAGGUUAAUACCCCGCUGUUAUGACGGUACCCAAAGAAUAAGCACCGGCUAACUUCGUG